GUGAUCUCUGCCUACCUGAGACUUUCUAAGGAUACUGGAGAAUGUUUCAGUUGCCCAUAUGAAUUGAAAACUUGCAUCUUGCAUAUGAAGGUUUCAUAUCACUAUGAGUUCUGAAGCUCUUGACAGACUACUGCUAGAGUACCCGAAAAGUUCUUCCAUCUGCGUG